AGCGAACGCUGGCGGCAGGCCUAACACAUGCAAGUCGAACGAACUCUUCGGAGUUAGUGGCGGACGGGUGAGUAACACGUGGGAACGUGCCUUUAGGUUCGGAAUAACUCAGGGAAACUUGUGCUAAUACCGAAUGUGCCCUUCGGGGGAAAGAUUUAUCGCCUUUAGAGCGGCCCGCGUCUGAUUAGCUAGUUGGUGAGGUAAAGGCUCACCAAGGCGACGAUCAGUAGCUGGUCUGAGAGGAUGAUCAGCCACAUUGGGACUGAGACACGGCCCAAACUCCUACGGGAGGCAGCAGUGGGGAAUCUUGCGCAAUGGGCGAAAGCCUGACGCAGCCAUGCCGCGUGAAUGAUGAAGGUCUUAGGAUUGUAAAAUUCUUUCACCGGGGUCGAUAAUGACGGUACCCGGAGAAGAAGCCCCGGCUAACUUCGUG
rnacentral:rRNA from 1 species